AACGAACGCUGGCGGCGUGCUUAACACAUGCAAGUCGAACGCGAAAGGGACUUCGGUUCUUAGUAGAGUGGCGCACGGGUGAGUAACGCGUAGAUAACCUGUCUUCAUAUCCGGAAUAACACGCCGAAAGGGGUACUAAUACCGGAUAUUCUUGCAUUUCACAGGUAAGGCAAGGAAAGGUGGCCUCUGAUUCAAGCUACUGUAUGAAGAGGGGUCUGCGUACCAUUAGCUAGUAGGUGGGGUAAUGGCCUACCUAGGCGACGAUGGUUAGCGGGUCUGAGAGGAUGAUCCGCCACACUGGCACUGGAAUACGGGCCAGACUCCUACGGGAGGCAGCAGUGAGGAAUAUUGCGCAAUGGGGGCAACCCUGACGCAGCGACGCCGCGUGAGUGAGGAAGGUCUUCGGAUCGUAAAGCUCUGUCAAGAGGGAAGAAGUGCAAGGCAGCGAAUAACUGUUUUGUUUGACGGUACCUCUAAAGGAAGCACCGGCUAACUCCGUGCCAGCAGCCGCGGUAAUACGGAGGGUGCGAGCGUUGUUCGGAAUCACUGGGCGUAAAGGGCGCGCAGGCGGGCUGCCAAGUCAGAUGUGAAAUCCCACGGCUUAACUGUGGACGUGCAUUUGAAACUGGCAGUCUUGAGUACCAGAGGGGAAUGUGGAAUUCCCGGUGUAGAGGUGAAAUUCGUAGAUAUCGGGAGGAAUACCGGUGGCGAAGGCGACAUUCUGGCUGGAUACUGACGCUGAGGCGCGAAAGCGUGGGGAGCAAACAGG
rnacentral:rRNA from 1 species